rnacentral:ncRNA from 1 species
UUGAGCAAUAACAGGUCUGUGAUGCCCUUAGAUGUCCGGGGCUGCACGCGCGCUACACUGGCAAAAUCAACGUGCUUGUCCUACCCCGAAAGGGGCGGGUAAACCAUUGAAAAUUUGCCGUGAUUGGGAUCGGAAAUUGCAAUUAUUUUCCGUGAACGAGGAAUUCCAAGUAAGUGCGAGUCAUCAGCUCGCGUUGAUUACGUCCCUGCCCUUUGUACACACCGCCCGUCGCUGCCCAGGACUGAGCCAUUUCGAGAAAUUUGGGGACCGUUGAUCUAGCUUUUUUAAGUUAUCUUGAUGGAAACCAACUUAAUCGCAGUGGCUUGAACCGGGCAAAAGUCGUAACAAGGUAGCUGUAGGUGAACCUGCUGCUGGAUCAUUA